GAGGCCCUAGCUUAGUUAAAGCGUCUGGGUUGCAUUCAGGAGAUGCAAGUUAAUAUCUUGCGGGUCUUA
rnacentral:tRNA from 1 species